rnacentral:lncRNA from 1 species
UCCCUCUCCAACACCCCUGCUGCUGCAGUUCAAUAUUUGCUCUUGGUUUUGGCCCGUUUUCAUUUCCUGCCACCUGCUUCCGGGCCUCUGCAUCCAGGAGAGCCUGCCCCUGGUUGAACACAGGAGGCUGUCACCCAUCAUUCUUCCAUUAUCACUAGCAUUGGAUGAAAAUUUUGUCACAGACCUGCAUUGGAGAACAAGUGC